rnacentral:rRNA from 1 species
GAUUUGCUUGAGUAUCUCGGAGUCAAAGAAUUUAAGCCAAAAUACCAAAUGAAAGUAGAUCGAUUUUUUUUUCAUUCCCAAGGAAGUGCAUAUUUUACCCAAAUCUUCUUCCAUAAUGGUAUGGAACAAUAGUAUCAUCGGAGUAUACGGACCAUUUUAAAUAUAAGAAGUUGAGCAAGCAGAUUGGUACGAGUGGAGAGAAAAAAAUAUAUAUAUAUUGAACUUAAAAUCUAUCCAUUUUACUAUAGAGAUGGAUAAGAUAUUUUGAUACAACGGCAUCUUGAUACCAUCGGGAACGGUAAAAAAAAUUGAAAAAUUGGAUCUAUGUCCAAUGGAUCACACCUACCAAGAAAAAUUAUUUUGUUUUCGUUCGGCAUAUAAUCAUAUAUGAAAUAGCGGACAGUAUAAAUUUAGAAACAGUUUUCCCCCGAUACCCAUUGCAGGAAAGUGAUAAUCUAGAACUUAUAGUUGUAAAUUAUAUUCUUUAUAGAUACGGAAAACCAAUUCGGGGAAUUUUUGGCCGUAAACGAUGGAUACUAGGCACCGUGCGUAUCGACUCAUGCAGUGCUGUAAUAACGCAUUAAGUAUCCCGCCUAAGGAGUACGUUCACCAGAAUGAAACUCAAAGGAAUGGACGAUGGCCUACACAAGCGGUGGAACAUGUGGUUUAAUUCGAUGCAAAGCAAAGAACCUUACUAAGGCUUGACAUGCCGCGAAUCCUUUUGAAAAAGAGGGGUGCCUUUGGGAACGUUGGCACUGGUGGUGCAUGGCUGUCAUCAGCUCGUGACAUAAGGUGUUUGGUAAAGUCCCACAUCAAGUGCAACCCUCAUGUUUAGUUUCCACCGUUUAGUUUAGAACCCUGAGCAGACUGCUGGUGAUAAGCUGGAGGAAGGUGAGGAUGAUGUCAAGUCAUCAUGCCCCUUAUGCCCUGGGCGACACACAUGCUACAAUGGCUGGGACAAAGGGUUGCCAUCCCGUGCGGGUGAGCUAACUCCAAAAACCCAUCCUCAGUUAGGAUUGUAGGCUGUAACUUGCCUACAUGAAGCUGAAAUCACUAGUAAUCACCGGUUAGUCAUACAGCAGUAAAUUCAUUCCCGGGCCUUGUACACACCGCCCAUCACACUAUGGGAGCUGGCCAUGCCCGAAGUCAU